AACGAACGCUGGCGGCAGGCCUAACACAUGCAAGUCGAGCGAGGACUUCGGUCCUAGCGGCGGACGGGUGAGUAACGCGUGGGAACGUGCCCUUUGCUACGGAAUAGCCCCGGGAAACUGGGAGUAAUACCGUAUGUGCCCGAGAGGGGAAAGAUGUAUCGGCAAAGGAUCGGCCCGCGUUGGAUUAGGUAGUUGGUGGGGUAAUGGCCUACCAAGCCGACGAUCCAUAGCUGGUUUGAGAGGAUGAUCAGCCACACUGGGACUGAGACACGGCCCAGACUCCUACGGGAGGCAGCAGUGGGGAAUCUUAGACAAUGGGGAAACCCUGAUCUAGCCAUGCCGCGUGAGCGAUGAAGGCCUUAGGGUUGUAAAGCUCUUUCAGUGGGGAAGAUAAUGACGGUACCCACAGAAGAAGCCCCGGCUAACUCCGUGCCAGCCGCCGCCGUAACAC
rnacentral:rRNA from 1 species